rnacentral:lncRNA from 1 species
CAAAGAAAGCUAUCUAAUAAAAAAUAAUUUGCGAAAACCUAUAAAAUAACUAACUAUAUAUAUAUAUCUAGUGCGGUUAACUAAGAAUUUGAUAAUUAAUAUCCGAAGUUCAAAUUCGAUAGCUAGUUGUUUCAAAUUUCUAACUGAAUUUAUUUAUUAAAAUUCGAUAGAGUAUGCAGAUAGCUUGCCGUCAAAGUUUCAAAAAAGAAAAAAGCCGUAAAAUACCCACUCAUGUUUGUAUAUAUGUAGAUCACGUAAAAAAAGAGCCAACUGCUGAAGAAUAAAUACUGAUUUAUGUUAUGUUACGCUUAGCUGCUCAUGUGACAUGAAAAUUGCACUCAUAAUUUCGUGAAAUGAAGAAAGUUUAGAAUUGCCUUCGGUAUUAAAUUAAUAAGAUCGAUCUGAUAGAAAAUAAUAAAUGUCAAUAAUUAUCAAGAGAAAUUUAACUAGA